CUGUACCAUGAUCAUAGAAGAGAAAGUAGUAAGACCUUCCCUAGUAACUUCACCAAAAUAUGUGCUUUUCUUUCAAGCAUACCAAAAUGAAAAUGACCAAGGCAUAGCUAUUCUGCAAAAGGCUAUCACGCAAGGAUAAAUAGUACGAUUAUUUACACGAGUCAAAAACAUCUGCUCAUCUUCCACAUCUGUUAUGGCGCUGCUAGAAAGAGGGCGCGAGAAGGCUGGCCGGGGGCCUUUUUGCCCACGGCCAGGCAAGAGGGAAGGGAUUUCCUUCUUAAUUCUUGCUUGAUUAGAUUGAUACAUCUCCUCUCUUUAUAUAGAGAGGUUUACUUGACUCUCAAGCAAGGCUUACUUGACCCCUAAGCAAACGACCCUUAUCUCUAAUUAACCCUAAGACUAAUGGGCCCAUUAGGCGCAUUACGUACUCUAACAACAUCCCAUUACCUUUAUGCCAAGAAUCAGCAGUACAAC
rnacentral:lncRNA from 1 species